GACGAACGCUGGAGGCGUGCUUAACACAUGCAAAUCGAACGAUGAAAUGGAGCUUGCUCCAUGGAUUAGUGGCGAACGGGUGAGUAACACGUGAAUAACCUGCCCUUAAUUUUGGAAUAACCCAGGGAAACCUGGGCUAAUACCGGAUAAGUAAACCUGUGGCAUCACAUGGUUUUGGAAAGUUUUUCGAUUAAGGAUGGAUUCGCGGCCUAUCAGCUUGUUGGUGAGGUAAUGGCUCACCAAGGCGACGACGGGUAGCCGGCCUGAGAGGGUGAACGGCCACACUGGGACUGAGACACUGCCCAGACUCCUACGGGAGGCAGCAGUGGGGAAUAUUGCGCAAUGGACGAAAGUCUGACGCAGCGACGCCUCGUGAGGGACGAAGGUCUUCGGAUUGUAAACCUCUUUCAGCAGGGACGAAGCGAAAGUGACGGUACCUGCAGAAGAAGCACCGGCUAACUAUGUGCCAGCCGCCGCCGUAA
rnacentral:rRNA from 1 species